CCUACGGGGGGCAGCAGUGGGGAAUAUUGCACAAUGGGGGAAACCCUGAUGCAGCGACGCCGCGUGAGUGAAGAAGUAAUUCGUUAUGUAAAGCUCUAUCAGCAGGGAAGAAAAUGACGGUACCUGAGUAAGAAGCCCCGGCUAACUACGUGCCAGCAUCCGCGGUAAUACGUAGGGGGCAAGCGUGAUCCGGAUUUACUGGGUGGAAAGGGAGCGUAGACGGCAGUGCAAGUCUGGAGUGAAAGGCGGGGGCUCAACCCCCGGACUGCUCUGGAAACUGUACGGCUGGAGUGCAGGAGAGGUAAGUGGAAUUCCUAGUGUAGCGGUGAAAUGCGUAGAUAUUAGGAGGAACACCAGAGGCGAAGGCGGCUUACUGGACUGUAACUGACGUUGAGGCUCGAAAGCGUGGGGAGCAAACAGGAUUAGAUACCCCAGUAGUC
rnacentral:rRNA from 1 species